ACAGUUGAAAUAACUCCUUCGUGGAGGCUGGCUACAUUUUCACAACGUCUGGUCCCAAGCUAGAUCUUCGGGAAAAGGGAUCAAGGAAAUGACUAUUCCUCCAAAUAAAAUGCUGCACAUCUUUCAUGGAUUCUGGUCCACCUCGUCCUCACGCGGGGAUGCAGACUGACAAGCUUCCACCAUGAAGGGUUGUCAUUUGCCAUAGCAGGGAGAGGAAAAUGGAGCAAAUCAGUCACCAGCUCGUCAUACAGAAGAGUGUCCCACGUCAUAUCUGCUGAUAUGUUAUGGCCAAAGUACAUGACUAUCUCCAAGGAGCUGAGAGGUGAAAUUCGGACAUUUGUCUGGACGGAGUAGAACCAAGAGAGUCGUAAACAUCCUGUGGACUACACACCGUUUAACAAGAUGCAACAGUAUUCUGGAUUCCAGUGCUGCAACUAUAUUCAAUAAAUGGGCCUUGUUCAAAUCCUGAG
rnacentral:lncRNA from 1 species